AAUCAACGCUGGCGGCGUGCCUAACACAUGCAAGUCGAACGCGAAGACCCCGCAAGGGGUUUGUAGCGUGGCAAACGGGUGAGUAACACGUGGGUGACCUGCCUUCGAGCGGGGGAGUAACGUUCCGAAAGGGACGCUAAUACCGCAUGACAUCCUGCCUUUGAAGAGGCGGAGAUCAAAGCCGGGGAUCGCAAGACCUGGCACUUGAAGAGGGGCCCGCGCCUGAUUAGCUAGUUGGGAGGUAACGGCUCACCAAGGCAACGAUCAGCAUCCGGCCUGAGAGGGCGGACGGACACACUGGGACUGAGACACGGCCCAGACUCCUACGGGAGGCAGCAGUGGGGAAUUGUUCGCAAUGGGCGCAAGCCUGACGACGCAACGCCGCGUGGAGGAUGAAGACCC
rnacentral:rRNA from 1 species